GACGAACGCUGGCGGCGUGCUUAACACAUGCAAGUCGAACGGAAAGGCCCUGCUUUUGUGGGGUGCUCGAGUGGCGAACGGGUGCGUAACACGUGAGUAACCUGCCCUUGACUUUGGGAUAACUUCAGGAAACUGGGGCUAAUACCGGAUAGGAGCUCCUGCUGCAUGGUGGGGGUUGGAAAGUUUCGGCGGUUGGGGAUGGACUCGCGGGUUAUCAGCUUGUUGGUGGGGUAGUGGCUUACCCAGGCUUUGACGGGUAGCCGGCCUGAGAGGGUGACCGGCCACAUGGGGACUGAGAUACGGCGCAGACUCCUACGGGAGGCAGAAGUGGGGAGUAUUGCACAAUGGGCGGAAGCCUGAUGCAGCAACGCCGCGUGCGUGAUGACGGCCUGCGGGUUGUAAACCGCUUUCGCCUGUGACGAAGCGUGAGUGACGGUAAUGGGUAAAGAAGCACCGGCUAACUACGUG
rnacentral:rRNA from 1 species